CAAGUACUCCCUCCGUCCCAAAAUUCUUGUCUUAGGUUUGUUUAGAAAUGGAUGUAUCUAACUACUAAAAUGUGACUAGAUACAUUCAUAUCUAAAUAAAUCUAAGACAAGAAUUUUGGGACCGAGGGAGUAUUUC
rnacentral:pre_miRNA from 1 species